rnacentral:tRNA from 1 species
GGCUCCUUAGUCAAGCGGUCAAGACGCUGCCCUCUCACGGCGGAAACAGGGGUUCGAUUCCCCUAGGAGCUACCA